GCAUCAAUGGGGUAGUGGUAACCUGGGUCGUUGCCAUUAGGAAUACGUGUCGUUGCCAUUAGGAGUACGUGCCAUAAGGCGUCUUUCGACCCGCCGGGGGUUCGAUUCCCCCUUGAUGCA